ACUCUUUGAGAUGGUCCUGUCCCUUUUGUGCACCGUUGCUUUGUUGUUUAGUAUUGGGAAUAGUAUUUAUAUGCUUUAAUUAAAUCAUUGUUUCUCUAAUCUGGAAGUAAUUUAUAUUCACAUCUGCAUGAUUGGGGAAGUUGAAAAUGCAUGCUUUUUAAAUUAAAGUUCUAACCUUAAAGCUAUGAUCUCACAACAAACAAAUGUAAGGUUUACUUAUAGCCAGUACUUUUUAAGCACUAAGUUGGAUGUCAGUGGAGGAAGUCAGGCAUAAUGCAGAACUGGCGCUACCCUUAAAAGAGCUUGCCUUUCACCGAGAACCAGCAGACAUGUGGGGAAAGGGAAUGGAUGGAAAGGCAGCUGCCCCGGUGCUUUCUCUGUAGCUAGAAUUUCGGAGUUAACAUGUCACAGUCCUGGGCAUGAUAAGGUGUGUGGUGAGCUUCGCCCCACAGGAUAGUGCAUGAUUCUACAGAGUUUGUGGCUCAAGAGCAAUCCAUUUAAGUAGAGAUUUUAAAUCAAAAUCUUAUAAGAACCGAUUAUUCAGUUAAAACAGUGAAGAGAGAUGGAAAGCAAGAGGCGAAGCCUGUCCAUUUUCUUUGCAGCACCAAUGCUUAAGUAUCCAUCUGUAUCUUUUUUUUUUUUUUUUUUUUUUUUAGACAGGGUUUUCUCAGAAAUCCACCUGCCUCUGUCUCCCAAGUGCUGGGAUUAAAGACGUGCGUCACCACUGCUUGGCCCAUCCGUAUCUUUUAGCGUGCACUGUCGCAUGCACCAUCUACACAUAUUUCCCCUUUCCCAGUGACAGUGCUAACAGGAUUAUGUGGUGUGCAUCGUCCCAUGGCUUGAUAGUUUUUAUUUGGAUUUUUUUCAUAUUUGCCCUUCAUUCUUGCCCUCACAUAUCAGCUAUGUAUUGGAGGUGGACGGACCUGUCCUUCACCAGUAGGUUUCUUUGUUAUUUAUCUGAACUUUGCUGAUGAACAUAUAGGUUGUUUCUAGCUUUCAGAGGGAAUAUCUGUGUCCGCCCUUGUCAGUGGGUGUCCUAUGUCCCAUAGGACAACAUAACUCAGUUCUUUCAGGAUGGAUGUCCUGGCAGCGACCAUUUUGGUAGAGAAAGCAUAGAAAAUUGUCUUUUAAAAAUAUUAGUGUACAUCAUCCCUAACAUUGUGUGAGAUUCUGGGAUUGGUGUUUUAUUUUGUUUUGUUUCUUCACUUUGACAACAGUCUGUCUUCUCAGUUUGGGGGUAUCUAAAAGGGAAAAAAUGGUAUGUGUGUGUAUUUAAUGUUUUUGAAGUUGGCAAAAGUCUUUAAUUUUUGCCCCAGACAAACACUUCUGCUUAAUCAUUUAGGACACAUUAUACUUUAAAACACUAUUAAGAAAUAGCAGAAGAGAAAACAUUUUUGGGAGGAGUAAUCCCCCUGUGUAGGGGGCAUGGGCUGUGGACUUGAUUUCAUUUGAAAGUGUCUCAGGGCUGCUGGAGUCUGCAUCGCUCUAUUGACAUUUGUUGAGUUGUCUAGAAACCCACAGGCUAAGCCUAGCACACAGGAAAGCUGAACUCCAGCUUUGUCCUUUAUGGCUUCCUCAUGUGGGAAACCUUGAGUCUGGUUCAUUGUGUGACAUGUUUUUUACAUGAGCAAAUAUGCAUGGAAGUGUGUUGUAGCAUUUGGCUUUCUCUGAGACUCUCUCAAGGGGAACAAUGGUUCUCAAAUGGUUGAGAACUAUGCGUACAGGCACAAAUUUGCUCUUGAACAAGAAGAGAAUCCUGAGGUAGGGAAAUCCUGUGUGUCCUGCCCCUAUCUCAGAGUGCCAGGCUCAUGGAAUGAUUGACAACCCCCCUUUUGCUUUGUGCCUGU
ensembl:sense_intronic Gm28112 predicted gene 28112